rnacentral:tRNA from 1 species
GCUCACGAGGUGUUGUACACAUUAGAUUGCAAAUCUUAAAUAGCAGAGUAACCCCUGCCGGGGCUU